rnacentral:rRNA from 1 species
GACGAACGCUGGCGGCGUGCUUAACACAUGCAAGUCGAGCGGUAAGGCCCUUUCGGGGUACGACGAGCGGCGAACGGGUAGGAGUAACACGUGGGUGGACCUCGCCCUCCAGCUCUGGGAGUAAGCCGUGGGAAACCGGGUACUAAUACCGGAUAUGACUCCAUGACGCAUGUUGUGGGGUGGAAAGCCUUGUGCGGCUGAGG